rnacentral:rRNA from 1 species
GGGGAAUAUUGCACAAUGGAGGAAACUCUGAUGCAGCAACGCCGCGUGAGUGAUGAAGGUCUUCGGAUUGUAAAGCUCUGUCUUCUGGGACGAUAAUGACGGUACCAGAGGAGGAAGCCACGGCUAACUACGUGCCAGCAGCCGCGGUAAUACGUAGGUGGCAAGCGUUGUCCGGAUUUACUGGGCGUAAAGGAUGUGUAGGCGGAUAUUUAAGUGAGAUGUGAAAUCCCCGGGCUCAACUUGGGGGCUGCAUUUCAAACUGGAUAUCUAGAGUGCAGGAGAGGAAAGCGGAAUUCCUAGUGUAGCGGUGAAAUGCGUAGAGAUUAGGAAGAACAUCAGUGGCGAAGGCGGCUUUCUGGACUGUAACUGACGCUGAGGCAUGAAAGCGUGGGGAGCAAAC